rnacentral:rRNA from 1 species
GGGGGGGGGGGGGGGGGGGGCGGGGGGAGGGGGGGGGGGCGGCCGGGCGGUGGGGGGUGGCGGUUACGGGUGGCGGGUGGCGGCGGGGUGCGGAGUACCUCGGAAUCUGCGUGUUCGUGGGGGGUCACUUCGGGCAACUUACGCGCAUCCCGCAUACGACCUACGGGUGAAAGCAGGGGAUCUUCAGACCUUGCGCGCUUAAAUGCGUCGAUGUCGGAUUAGCUCUGUGGCGGGGUAAAGGCCCACCAAGGCUACAAUCCGUAGCUGGUCUGAUAGGAUGAUCAGCCACACUGGAACUGAGACACGGUCCAGACUCCUACGGGAGGCAGCAGUGGGGAAGAUUGGACAAUGGGCGCAAGCCUGAUCCAGCCAUACCGCGUGGGUGAAGAAGGCCUUCGGGUUGUAAAGCCCUUUUGUUGGGAAAGAAAAGCAGCAGGUUAAUACCCCGCUGUGCUGACGGUACCCAAAGAAUAAGCACCGGCUAACUUCGUG